rnacentral:rRNA from 1 species
CAGUCGCCGCGGUAAUACGGAGGGUGCAAGCGUUAAUCGGAAUUACUGGGCGUAAAGCGCACGCAGGCGGUCUGACAAGUCAGAUGUGAAAUCCCCGGGCUUAACCUGGGAACUGCAUUUGAAACUGUCAGGCUGGAGUCUUGUAGAGGGGGGUGGAAUUCCAGGUGUAGCGGUGAAAUGCGUAGAGAUCUGGAGGAAUACCGGUGGCGAAGGCGGCCCCCUGGACAAAGACUGACGCUCAGGUGCGAAAGCGUGGGGAGCAAACAGGAUUAGAGACCCCCGUGUCCCUGUCUCUUAUACC